UACGUAGGGUGCAAGCGUUAAUCGGAAUUACUGGGCGUAAAGCGUGCGCAGGCGGUUAUGUAAGACAGGUGUGAAAUCCCCCGGGCUUAACCUGGGAACUGCAUUUGUGACUGCAUCGCUGGAGUGCGGCAGAGGGGGAUGGAAUUCCGCGUGUAGCAGUGAAAUGCGUAGAUAUGCGGGAGGAACACCGAUGGCGAAGGCAAUCCCCUGGGCCUGCACUGACGCUCAUGCACGAAAGCGUGGGAGCAAACAGG
rnacentral:rRNA from 1 species